rnacentral:lncRNA from 10 species
AGAAGGGCUUAGACAAUGUCAACUUUUCCACACUGUGAAUGAGAGAAAUUCUGGCCUCUCUAACCUCUCUGUCCUAUCUCAUUCCGCCUCUUUUCCUCCUCCUCCUCUAAACUCUCUUAGAAAUUCUAGCCUGGUUUGCUAUUAGUUGUUUCUUGGAAAAAUGAAGGGGGAGGGAGAAGGAUGAAUGACUUUAGAUGGACUAAUGUCACUGUUAAGAUCUCUGGUGUCAUUCUCCGUGUAAUUUUAUUUUUAAAAUCCACACAAUCAAAAUGUUAAAACUUGCACGCAAACAGUGCCUCUGAGGAAACUUAAAGCUUAGAUUCGUGCAGCAGGCACAAGACUCAGUAGCUACAAGUGUACAAAAUGCCUGUGUUUUAUACAUACUUCAGCAAGUAAGGUUAGCACCAAAAGGGAAAGUAAACUAAAGUAAACUAAUACCAGCACAUUUUCCAUUUGAUUAUCGACUUCAGGUUAUGUGGAGCUUUAAAAGAAGAAGAAGAAGAAAAAAAAAAAGUAGGGGAGGAGGGAGCGGGGGAAGGAAGAGAGAAGCUUGCAUUAUUUCCAGAUGAGGGUGAGACUGGAUGGUGUUUUAAAGUGCAACCGGGAAAAGCCACAAGUGGAGUGUAUUUUUUUAAGUCAGUC